GCGAUUUUCAAACCAGAACUCAACAAGAAGAAGAAACGCGGAAAUAAUAUGUUCUCGCUACCCCAACUAUAGUAAAAAGGCCUUCCUCCUUACGAAUCAACAAUAUCACUAUCCGGGUUUAUUCUUUUAGUGACACGAGGACAAUUUCAUAGAUUUUUACUUGAUCUGAAAAUUGUUUUUUCACUUCCUACUUGUGUGCUGUUGUUUGUGCUUCAGCAUGGCGGUGGUCAUCCGUUUACUGGGACUCAGAAUCACUGCGGGUUCUGAGGAUAUACGCAAAUUCUUCAGUGGCCUCAAAAUCCCUGAUGGUGGGGUGCAUAUUAUUGGUGGGGAGCGUGAUGAGGCUUUCAUUAUAUUUGCUUCUGACGAAGAUGCAAGGAGAGCAAUGACUCGUUCAGGCGGUUGUAUAAAAGGCACUCCGGUUAACUUACUAUUGAGCAGCAAGUCAGAAAUGCAGAGCAUUCUAGAGGCAAGUACAAAAAAACCUGACCUUAACCAACAACGACCACACAAGGAGGAAUUUAGAAGACGUGAAAGUGAGGCUACUGACCCCUCCUUCAGUGAGAAACUAUCCAUGGAGAAGCGAAGAGCUAUUCCUGAGAUGGGGAAUCGAUUUGUCCAGGAUCCUCAUGGUGAGGCACACAUUCAGAACCGCAAGUCAGAAUCUAACAGUGUGGGUGACUUGUUCUUGUUUUUGAAAGGAAUGCCCUUUUCUGUCACUGAAGACGAAGUGAGACACUUUUUCCAGGGGUUGAUCAUUGAUGCCAUGAUCCUGAUGAAGAACCACCGUGGGCAAAAUAAUGGUAAAGGAAUUGUGAAGUUUACAACGAGACAAGAUGCAAGAGAAGGUAUGAAGAGGGACAGGGAAUAUAUUGGCUCAAGGUUUGUUGAACUUUAUCCAGCUACAGAGGAAGAAUGGAUCAAUGCAAAUGGUGCAAUGGCGGCAAAUGCAGAUGAAUUUACCCACAAAUAUCGAAAAGGGUCCCCCCCCCCAUAUCGGCAGAGAUAUCCUCAAGAACGUGCAAGGUCACGCUCUCCUGUGGGCCACUCAUUGAAGUCUGCUCCUCCUGCCGAUGAGGAGUUCUGUGUCUUGUUAGAAAACCUCUCCUAUUCAGUCCAGAAGAGGGAUGUCAAGGAACUCUUCAGGAAUGCAGGCCUUCAGGAUGAUCAGAUUUUAUAUCUGCUUGACAGCGAAGCAAAACGGACAAGGUCACUGUUUGUGUUGUUCAGAAGUCUGAAAGACUAUUGUGAUGCCCUUACCCAUCAUAAGAAGGAGUUCCUUAAUCGAUGUCUUUAUAUCUCCCCAAUCUCAAAAGAAAAAAUGGUUUCCAUUCUGGAAACCAAUAAACACACGGCAGAUGAGCUUCCUGAAAGGCAUAGUAGGUCUCAGGAAAGGCUGUCUCUGUCUCACAUUGACCCAUACAAUUCUGAUAAGGUUUGCCUCUAUGUGCGAAAUCUGCCUUUUGAUGUCCGCAAAGUUGAGAUUAUGGACUUCUUCCUUGGCUUUAGUAUCUCUGAGGACUCUGUGAUCUUGUUGCGUGAUAACAGGGGUGCUGGUAUUGGAGAGGCUUUGGUGAUCUUUCAGACCGAGGUAGAGGCUAUGACUGCGCAGUCUUUAAAUGGGCAAAGAUUUCUUGGUUCAGAGUUGAUGCUGAAAUGCAUCUCAAGGUCUCAGAUGCGUGAGUUUGGUGUUGCUGACCCUGCAAUGGACGUUCACACAGUAAGGGAAAGAAGCUCUGAGAGGUACUCUGCCAGGAACAGAGACUCACUUCUUCAUUCUCAUGACAAGGAGUACUCUGAUUUCAUGACACCCGAUGGCCACAUUCCACUGACAGACCUGCAGGUUCACAUCCGUGGGGACAGUAGUCUUGACUCCAACUGUGCAAGUCCUUACGGUCAACAGGAUGGUGGCAAUGGAUCUUUCCAUGGUGGUUUUGGACCCCCCCCCCAACAUUAUGAUGGCCCCACCUGUUUGAAGCUGGUUAAUCUACCGUUGCAAAUCACCAUCAAUGAAAUCUAUGACUUUUGUUAUGGAUAUCGUGUAAUUCCAGGGUCUAUUUCUUUGCAGUAUAACAGAAAUGGUAUUCCUAAAGGCUCUGCAACAGUUGUCUUUGAGUCACGCCAGGAGGCAUUGACUGCGGUUGAGGAAUUGAGUGGAAGACCUAUAGGCAUGCGGAAAAUACAACUCGUUUUUGUUUAAACACCUUGAUCAGACCCUUGGUGGUCAAGAUUUGGUGGAGACAUUCUAAAGAGGUAAAAAUAGUCCUAUAUUUUUUAUUAGUGGUGUGGAUGGACAAAGUGGUUUGUGAGACCACUUAAAAUGAAUUUGUGAGAUUCAUUGACUUUUGUUAGUAUUAUCCUUCAGUGAAUAAUGGAUAUGUUGUGAUGAAUUUUUAUUGAUUUUUUACUCCAAAUUUAGCUAAUGCAUUAAAGUACCAUCGUCUGUGCAGUCUUUGUUCAGAAUUAUUUUGUGAAAUUUGAAUAGCAUAUGGUACAAAAAACAAAAGUGCUAUUUUUUAUUUUACAUUAUUUAAUAACCUUACUGUGCAUUACUCAUUUGAUUAAAAUGCUCAUCAUUCAAUUGUCUUCUGUUGUCACCUAAUAGCACACUUCAACCACUCAUGGAAUACAAACUAAACUUCAUUUAAUGUAGUGUCAUUUACUAUAUAGUGUGACUGUAAUACAAUUGUGAUGUACUGCAAGUGGAUCUUGAACUGCACCUCUGUGAAACCAUUUCUAACCUGUACAUCAGGUAAAGUGGUGUCCUUAAUUAAGCAUGUACAUGGAAUUUCUUGAUCAACUGUUUAUCAUUACUACUGAUAAAAAAAAAGCUGCAUGAGGUAUUAAAAUAUUUUGCUCUACACCUCUUGUCAAAGGAUGGCCUUAGACCUCUUAAUGGGGUGAAAUUAUUGCUCAGUGGUUGGAGCACUUAACUGCAGAUCAAGCUCGCUGGUUAAAAUUCCCCCUGUACUUCACGUGAAUUUGGAAAAUAAUCUUCUGUUAAAUGAAUACGUUAUUAUUUCACUUGUACUACAUGGUGCUUUGAAACAAAUGGUCAAUUUGUUGUCUCUGGUUUCUUUUUCCAAGUGUGUCACCUUCCUACAGCUGAUGCUAAUAUCGGUAUUUCCAGGGGGAAUUGAAUUGAAUUUGAACCUUUAGAUUGGCAUCAACUCUGUUAAGGUAACAGCUGCCAUUCAAUGUCAAUAUGUCUAGACAGUGAGAGUUAAGUUACAUCACAAAGUUCACAAACAAAUGGUCUAACUAGGCAGUUGGCAAGAGCAUGUUUCUACCAGACGCAUGAUGCACUCAGAUACAUAUUUUUACAUGAUGAAGGUAUUAGGACAGUUGGUGACAAAGUCAUUGUUAAAAACAUUUUAUGUAACAUGAAAUGCCAAAGAGAACGGGACGCUAUUGGUUAUAACUCCUGUCACAAGUUCUGGGUGGGACUCGAGGACAAGGGAGAAAACUGAGAGACGGACAAAACGGACUGAACAUAUUCCUGUAUUCUUGGAAUAAGCAGCAAACCUGAGCAGGAUGGAGGUAUCAAGAAGAAGGAGUUUGCAGAAACACCUGGAGCCAGCGAGGCCACUACGCCGGUUCAAUAAUGUUGACCAGGAGCCUUUUAGAAAUAUGGAUACAUUUGCAUAUCCACAGGUGGAAGACAAAUCAAUCAACAACAUUGGAGUGGAACAAUUCUACAAAAUACUACAGCUCCACACACAAAAUGAGGAGAAAAGUCAUAAAGUCCGAAUAUGUUACAGUAGGGAGUUUCUGAUUGAGUUGGCAAGCUCCCCAGUUGCCAAAAGGAAGCCUGAUUUCUUACCUGAGCACCCUGUCGUUCUGGAAAAGGCGAGAGAUCCUGGUCUACCAAGGCUGGUGGAGAAGUGUGACAAGAGGUGGAAUGAAGGAAAUGUUAUGUUGCCUAGCAUGGAUGAAUUUUGACCCGUGGUGCUUUAGUACAGAAAAGCCUCUUGCGAUGCAUGUUUAUAUACAUUUAGUUUUCUUUGAAGAGGGAUCAUAAAUGGCACUUAGUCUGAGACUUAAAAGGAUGAUGACUAUUAUCAAAAUGUUGCAUUUGUAUUAGAACUUGAAAAACUUAUUGGAACUGCCAGUGCUUUUGUGGAGUGGAGACACUAAUAUGACAUAACAGACAAGCUUGCAAAUGUUGCCUUGAAAUAAAUCUAACGUCAUAUUUGUAUUCCCCCUGUACUGUGAAAAAUAUAAAAUCAUACCUGUCAUUGCAGGAUCAAAUUACUAAGAUUUGUAACUAACACAAGAGAAAGCAAGAAACUCAGGUA